GAGAGACACAGAGAGAAGAGGACCAGUGAGCCUGAAACAGUUGAUCAGAGUGAGACUGUUGUUUAAAGAUGGAUUUAAGUUCACUUCAAGCUCUGGAGAGAGAAAGAGUCCUGGAGGUUCUGCGGAGAGACAAACAGCUGCGUACUAUUGAAGAGGACAGGAUAAGGAGGAUGAAACAUGAGCUCCAGGAGCUUCGAAGGAGAGGUGCAAAGAGUUUCUCCCGGCAGUACAGCGAGCGGACCUGCGCCCGCUGCCAGAGGCCGCUGGGAAAGUUCUGGAACUCGGGCGCCAUCUGCCAUGGCUGCAGCCACCGCAUCUGCAGCAAGUGUCGUGUGGGCGUGGGAACGGCGGGCUGGAAGUGCACGGUCUGCCACGCCUACAGGGACGUGAAGUUCAGGUCUGGACAGUGGUUCUUAGAGGAGAGGGCAAAGAAAUUUCCAGUCACCACAGGCAAAUAUGAGAUGGUUGGGGAAAAAAUAUUAAAGACCUACAAUCUGAUGAGUCAUAUAUCAGUUGUGCCUCCGACUCCUCCACCCUACUUGGAAUAUCAGUGUCUGAGCAGAUCUGGGGAUUGGAAAAACUCAAAAUCUUUUACUAAAUCUAUGGAAUAUGUAAUGGCUUCCUUGUCCAGUCAUAUUAAAAAGAUUUCCACUUCUCAGAGCGAUGUGAGAGAUGACCUGCUGAGAGUUGACAACAACCGGAAAGGGUCGUGCUUCAACUACAGCACCCAGAAGAGCCUCUCUGACACUGACAUCAACAAAUCUUGCCAUCUCUUCAAAGGACCCAGUCUUCCAAACCUGUUCAAGAAAAACAGAGACAGUGACCAAGAAGGCUCAUUAACUGGAGCGGAAGAAGAAACUUCCUACGGUUCUGAGUACUCUGGAGGAAAUAGAGGCAGUAGCAGCAGCAGCAUCAACACAGACUGUGGCCUCUUCGAGGGCAUCGGCAUAGCAGGAGAGCUGAAACUGGCUCUGGCCUUCAACAACACCACCUCUUGUCUGGAGAUCACCGUCGGCGCCUGCAGAAAUCUGUCCUACGGAGACAGCAAGAGGAAGAAGUGUCAUCCAUAUGUCAAACUCUACAUGCUGCCGGGAAAGAGCGGUAAAAUGAAGACGACGGUCAAGAAAAACACGACCGAUCCCGUUUAUAAUGAAGUUUUAACGUAUCACAUAGAGCGCCACCUGCUGUUUGGCAAGAGACUGCAGGCUUCUGUGUGGCAUUCAGGGACCCUGAAAAGGAAGGUGUUUCUCGGUGAGAUCCUUAUCCCGCUGGACGGCUGGGGAUUUGAGGACAAGGACUCCCAGUGCUUCAACUGGUACCCACUUUGUCCAAAGGCUGAGAGUCCAGAGGGAGGCGCUGUGGAACAAGAGGUUGGAGAUCAGCUGGUCAGAGUCAAGUUCAGCUCCAACAACCAGGGUGUCUGACUGGGAGCAGGCAGAGAGCCCAUCCAGACGGCAGCCAUUUCUGAGGUUGAGUCGGCUCUCUGAACCCAGAGCUGUGGCCCCUGCUGCUCCUCUGAGGGACCCCUGAGGAGUGGCUCAGAUAGACCCUGGUGAACUCCUCUAUCACACCUAACAACUAUCACUCUGUCUUCUCCAGGGUCACCAUGGCAACUAGUUUUGGACACCCCAACAGGUGUAGUGAAGUCAUCUUCCCCGUUUCUAACCAACAUCAACAUCAGGAGAACAUGAUGACAUUCAACGUCUCUGCCCAACAACAGACUCAGCACCUAAACAUGUUCACACUGCAGUAUUCAUAUUGUAAGAACUGUAAGCCAUCAUUCAUUCAUUUAACAUUGCAUGCGCAUAUGUUUGUAAAGAAAUAUUUUUUAUUUAUUUAUCUAUCAAACUGAAUGACUUUAUAAUUAAAAACGUUUAAGUCUGGAACUUUAACAUCCCUCUUCUUUAACUAACAAAGUGGUUAUAAGUAUACAGAACCAUUACACCCAUCAGUACUACUAUUUUCUUUUAUUUUUGUAUUUUUGUUAUGUUUUUUUUAGUAAUAAAAAAAUUCUAGUAUAGAUAUUUUAACUCAUGCACAGGGUGAGAAUGUUAACUAGCUGAUGUUGUAGCAAGUAUAAUGUUUACCAUGUUUACUAUCUUAGUUUAGUGUGUUAACAUGCUAGCAUUUGCUAAUUUGCACUAAACACAAAGUGCAGCUGAGGCUAACGGGAAUGUGGGUAUGGGAAUUGUACAGACCCUGAACGUGACAUGAA